AGGAAUAUAGUUAAAUUAUAUAACAUUUGAUUUGCAUUCAAAAAUUAUUAAAAAUUAAUUUUUCUUA
rnacentral:tRNA from 1 species